GAAUAUGUGGCGCAAUGGUAGCGUGUCUGACUCCAAGUCAGAAGGUUACGUGUUCGAUUCACGUCAGAUUCC